CUCCAAGAUCCAAGAGGCCUCAAACAGAUUUCAAAUCCUCAGGCAGAGUUCUCUGAGACUACAGACGUUCGGAAAGAUUCUGGGGGUCACUGGCAGAUCCUGUCUAUCUUCAGAUCUGGAGAGCUUUAAGUCCUUCUUUGUCCUCUCGCCGUUCCUUUUAUUCCUCAGGCCUGCCUGGGGGCAGGACGACUCUCCAAACCCAGCUUGGCUGCUUGCCUCCUUCUGUGAUGCUGUGGGAGUUCUGAGGAACCAUCUCUUGUGGCCAGGGUUAUCAGAGAAGACUUCGUAGAAGACGUGUAUCUGAGGUGAGCCUUGAAGAAUGGGUAAGAUUUGGACUUGGGUGGAGGAGGGGGAAUCGGAAUAGGCAGUCACAGUUGGUAAGGUCCAUCAGGUUUUCAAGAACAGGACAAAUACCUCCCUUAGGCUGGAGCAUGAGGGGCAGCAGGGGUGGAAGAUAAAUCACUAAAGACAGGCAGAUGGAAGGGAACUUUGAAAGUCAGACCAGGUAUAGCUGGUGAAAAUCCACUGAAAAUGAUUGGGGGAAUGAUGCUCAGAGCCGUGCAUGGCUCAUGCAGGUAAGGUAGGGACUGUUUUCUGUUUGCUUGUUUAUUUGUUUUUGUUUUUUUGGCUGCACCACGUGGCAUGUGGUUUCUUAGUUCCGAGACCAGGGAUGGAACCUGCGCCCCCUGCAUUGGAAGCGUGGAGUCUUAACCACUGGACUGCCAGGGAAGUCCCGGUAGGGAGUGUUUUGAGUUGGGAGACCAGUAGAAGGCCUUGGCAUCAGUUGGAGAAAAAAGAAGACCUGAGAGAAAAUGUUGAUGGUGAUGGCAAUGGAGAGAAGGAUUGGGUAAGGGAGAGACUAUAAAAUGAUAAAAUGAAGAGGGCAAGGGAAAAGGCUCAAAGAUGGUUCUAAGUAAUGAACUAGUUGACAAAUAGAAAAGACAGAAGAGGGGAUUUAAGAAAGAGAAGACGUGAAUUCAGUUUGUGAUUAAUUGUAUUGAGAGGGCCAGUGGGGUACUUGGAGUAGAUAUCCAGAUAGGCACUUGGUGACUGAAGUCUCAAGCUCAAAAAAAUAAAAAACCUCAGAGCUAAAGACAGAAAUUUGGUAGUCUGGAUGAGACUACUAAGAAAGACUUCUCUGUAGUAUUUCAGGUUUCUGUAACAUUUGAAAUCCUCUUUUAAACUGGUCAUAGGAUCUUUUUUUUUUCUUUACAUCUUUAUUGGAGUAUAAUUGCUUUACAAUGGUGUGUUAGUUUCUGCUUUAUAACAAAGUGAAUCAGUUAUACAUAUACAUGGUCAUAGGAUCUUGACUCUGGUUUUCAAGGUCAUUUGGCCCUAACAUUCCUGGUGAGACCUUCUUUCCUCCAUCCCAACCACGUUGCUUCUCUGUUUCACCUAAUGUCGUCUUUUUCCUCCUGUAAGGUAGCAGCAAUCUCCCUCCCCCUAGGAAGCCUUUCAGGGAGGUAGAGUUAACACUAACUCCCUUGAAGCUCGCACCCUCUUCAUCUUUUUUUUUUUUUUUCCUCUUCAUCUUUGAUAUUAGGGAGGCGAUGGGGUUAAACCAUGUAUUCUGGCCAACAGCAUAUGCAAAGCCUGUGUGACGAGGAGGAACACAGCACGGCCAGUGUGGCUGGAGCACAAAGUGUCGGGGAGAGGCAGAGG